UCUACUUAAUUAAAAACGGGUNUGGGGUU
rnacentral:piRNA from 1 species